rnacentral:rRNA from 1 species
GAUGAACGCUAGCGGCAGGCUUAACACAUGCAAGUCGAGGGGUAUUUGGACUUCGGUUCAGAGAGACCGGCAAACGGGUGCGGAACACGUACACAACCUACCUUUAUCAGGGGGAUAGCCCAUAGAAAUGUGGAUUAAUACCCCAUAGUAUUAUGUGAUGGCAUCAUUAUAUAAUUAAAGAAUUUCGGAUAGAGAUGGGUGUGCGUAAGAUUAGCUAGUUGGUAGGGUAACGGCCUACCAAGGCAACGAUCUUUAGCUGAUGUGAGAGCAUGAUCAGCCACACGGGCACUGAGACACGGGCCCGACUCCUACGGGAGGCAGCAGUGAGGAAUAUUGGACAAUGGAUGGAAAUCUGAUCCAGCCAUGCCGCGUGAAGGACGACGGUCCUAUGGAUUGUAAACUUCUUUUGUAUGGGAGCAAUAGGUCUACGUGUAGAUCGAUGAGAGUACCAUACGAAUAAGCAUCGGCUAACUCCG